GGAAUGAACUGCAGUCACACUUGAGAAACUUACUGAGGAGUUGUAUGAUGUGUAGAGAGAAAAUUGAUUUUGCUGCUUAUCUUCAGCUGUCAACUGUCAACCGCUUUUUCAGUUAAACUGCUUGAAGUACAAUGUACUGAUGAGACAAGUACUGGUCAGUUAUGCAUAUUAUCUCUAAUCCUCAGAACACCCCUGCAAGGUAGCUAAUAUUAUCUCCAUGUUAUAAGCAAGCAAACCAAAGCUUCAAGAUGUUUAGUAAGCCGCUCCAGGCUCAGAGAUGAGGAGCGGUGAAGUUGAUAUUAGAUCUCAGGUGCUUUCACCUGGCCCCCAAGUCUUCUACAACAUUAUAUCAAGGAUAGAUCUACAGAGACCAAAAUGCUCAUUUUCAAGACUGUCACAGAAGAGAAUGAUAACAGCCUUGAUACAUAGCCAUUACUGUUCAUGUCACAAGUUAAACAUGAUGCUUUGAAAAAUGUUUACACCAUUGAAUAUCAUUCGGAAAUCCAUCGUUUCCAGGUGCCUGGAUGGCUCAGUUGUUAAGCAGCUGCCUUUGGCUCAGGUUGUGAUCCCAGAGUUAGGAUCCUUCUCCCUGCUCAGCCAGAAGCCUGCUUCUCCCUCUCCCACUCCCACUGCUUGUGUUCCCUCUCUCACUGUGUGCUCUCCCU
rnacentral:lncRNA from 1 species